AUGUCUGUGUGCAGAGCAGCCUGGCAGAGGUGUGGGCCUCUCGCGCGACAGUCCCUGUACCGCGCACACCUCAAUAGAGAUGUAGUUCCACGGAGGCUCAUGUCGUUGGUUCCUGGCGGCUCUGGUGAGAAUUUCUUUUACGUCGUCCUCUGCGGUGGAGCCUUCGCAGGUGCCUUGGCAUAUGCUUAUAAAACAGUUUCAACAGACCACGCACGUUUUGUUGAUCGUGUUUCUGAAAUUGAUGCUCGUCCCAAGUCUGACUGGAAACCCAAAGCAUGGCCACCCAAGGGUGGGGAGAAUGGCAAUGAAGAAGCUGGUGCAGAGGAAGGUGAGGUGGCAGAAACUGUAGAGAGCGCAGCCGAGGAGGAUGUUCCUGCUGAGGCACCUGAGGUCUUGCUGGAAACAGCCGAGGCCACUAGAGGGAAGACAGGAACUCUUGAGACCGUUGUGGAAAAGGUUGCCGAGACAGUUGCAGAGACUGCAGAGGUGGUCGCUGAGGUGGCGGGGGUUGUUCAUGAAACAGCAGAGGAAGUGGCAGCGGUGGCACAGGAAGUGCAGAAGGUAGCAGAGGAAGUAGAAGCAGCAGCAAAGGCUGUUGAAACUCCUGUUAUCCAAGCUGAAGAGCCAGCGUCAGAGAGCAACGAAUCAGUCAGCCCAGCAGAAGCAGAACCAGCAAAGCUGGCUGCUGCCUCUGUGAUCGAGGCUGUUCCUAAGGAGUCUGUAUCCAUGGAAGAUGUGCCAGUUGAAGCUGUACCAGAGAAGCCCACUGAGGUUCCUACAACAGAUCAUUUGGAAAGUGAACCUGUAAGAGAAUUGGUAUCCGUUUCUCCAGUUGUAGAAGAGCCACCUGUUGCCACAGUGGUAGAAGAGGCUCCAGUAGUAGAGCCAUUUGAUUCACCAGUAUCCACAGAAGAAGCAUCUGAUGUCCUGGUGAUAGAACAGGAAAUAUUGGUUGUCCCAGUGACAGAAGAGACACCAGUUUCCUCUGUAACAGAAGAGGGAGCAGUUUCCUUGGUUACCGAAGAAGCUCCUGUUGCUGUGGCUGAAGAUGCACCUGUUGUAGCAACCGAAGAACUUGAGGAAACACCUGCAACCAAAGUAACAGAAGAGGUUAUUCCAGUGGUUGAGGAAGGUGUGGAAGUGAAGGCAGCAGAGGCUAUUGUUACAGAGGCUUCGGUAAGUAUAGUCGAUGAAGAAGCAGCAAGUCCAUUUGUGGAAGUUACAGAAAGUGUUGUUGAACCAGAUGUUGCAAGCACAGUGGUAGCUGAGAAAGUUGCUCUAGCUGAAACAUCAAGUGAGCCUGAUUCUUUGGAAGAGCCCAAACGAGACUACAUAGUGGUUAUCUUGGAGGGAGCUCCCAAAACAGAAAAGAAGCCCAUGGUGCUCGGUGUGUCCCCCAUGAUUGGCAAGAUCAUCUCAGCCCCUGAUGAUGGUGAAGAGCCAUCGGGACAGGUAACAGGGCAAGCGCCGUAUGCUUAACGUGCAGAUGCAUUAGCGCCAACUAAAAAAGUUGGGAGCAGUCAGACGUUCUGGGAUAGUAAACUGGUUCCCUGAUAAAGAAUUAGUGAUGUGCCUCGCCCUUUUCUUACUUACCUGACCCCCUGGAUUUCAGUAAUCCUUACACUGGGCCCAGAAGGCUGUUUCCUUCCGACUCUUUCCACUUACAUGCUGUCCACUGGAGAGUGGUUACUUCAUGUGAACUUUCACUUCACUUUGAUGUGAGACAUACAAGUUUGUGACCUAUCUUUAUACCCUUUUUAAAUGGAACUCCAUUCUUUUUGAGUCAACUGCACAUUGGAGCCUAUACUAUAGUGAACCCUACCUCAAACAUCACAUUUUUAGGACAUGUCUUGGAAACGCCAUGUCAAUAGUUACAAUACCAGCAGGGCUAAACAUUUGCCACAAACACUGUCAUAUCUGCAUGCUGACCACCAAUUUUUUGGUUAGACUUCAGGUUCUCCUCUAUCUUCAAUAUAUGCUAUUUUUCAUUUGCAUUAUUUAUGAAUUAACACCAUUUUUAUAUUUGUACCUCUCUACCUCAGCUUGAAAAGACAGUGUUCUCCUUUAACCAGUAACCAGUAUUAUAGUAACCAACUAACAUUACCAAUGUGACAUGAAUAGGUCAAAAAAACAACUGACAAACAGAUAACCUGUAUCAAUAUUAUCAAUACAACAAUAAGCCAUGUUACAAGUCACAUUCCAGUAUUAAUUUUAAAGGCUGACAUUACAAUAUUAUCCAAAAGGUAAACCCCACUGCUGCAUCCUUUGCCUUUGUUUUCUUGUUCUCUCUUAGUUUGUCACCAUCACCAAACCUAUUAUGAAAAUGUUACACUUACUUUGAUACUAGUUUUGAUGCUCAUUUGAUUUGAGAUUUUGGAAUGGUAGACAGAUAUACUAUAUCGAGCCAGAAGGAAAAUUAAUGUCAGAUUAAAAAAAAAAAAACAUACCUAACAAUUUUGUUUCUUAUCUCCUUCAUGUUUCAAAAGGGACCUUAUAAGUGUUAUAGGUAAGAUACAACUUUAUAAUGUGAAUGUGAGGGAAUAAUGUGAAGUAUGGUUUAGUAUAAAGGGUGUGUUCAUGGGUUCUUUUUGAUUUUGUUUUCAGGGUUAGGAAUUUAAUACACAUGCAUGUGCUCUUUUGAAGUUUCACCUUUCACCGUAGGCCCUAACUAGCGUUUUAUUUUAUUUUUUUAACUAUGAAUGUAUGUAAAAGAAAAAUAAAGAGUUGAAAAACAUUUCUGUGUGAUCA
ensembl:lncRNA